rnacentral:rRNA from 1 species
AGUUGUAGAAUCACUGGUGAAUAAGGGGUGGGCAGGUUCUGGUGUCAGCCGCCGCGGUAAAACCAGCACCUCGAGUGGUCAGGAGGUUUAUUGGGCCUAAAGCAUCCGUAGCCGGUUGCAUAAGUUUUCGGUUAAAUCUAUGCGCUUAACGUAUAGGCCGCCGAAAAUACUGUGCAGCUAGGGAGUGGGAGAGGUACACGGUACUCGAUAGGAAGGGGUAAAAUCCUUUGAUCUAUUGAUGACCACCUGUGGCGAAGGCGGUGUACCAGAACACGUUCGACGGUGAGGGAUGAAAGCUGGGGGAGCAAACCGGAUUAGAUACCCGGGUAGUCCCAGCUGUAAACGAUGCAGACUCGGUGAUGCAUUGGCUUGUGGCCAAUGCAGUGCCGCAGGGAAGCCGUUAAGUCUGCCGCCUGGGAAGUACGUACGCAAGUAUGAAACUUAAAGGAAUUGGCGGGGGAGCACCACAAGGGGUGAAGCCUGCGGUUCAAUUGGAGUCAACGCCAGAAAUCUUACCUGGGGAGACAGCAGAAUGAAGGUCAAGCUGAAGACUUUACCAGACACGCUGAGAGGUGGUGCAUGGCCGUCGCCAGCUCGUGCCGUGAGAUGUCCUGUUAAGUCAGGUAACGAGCGAGACCCCUGCGUCUAGUUGCUACCAUUACUCUCUGGAGCAGUGGAGCGAAUUAGACGGACCGCCACAGUUAAUGUGGAGGAAGGAAGGGGCCACGGCAGGUCAGUAUGCCCCGAAACCCUAGGGCUACACGCGGGCUGCAAUGGUAUUGACAAUGUGUUCCGAAUCCGAAAGGAGGAGGCAAUCAUCAAACAAUAUCUCAGUUAUGACUGAGGGC